rnacentral:rRNA from 1 species
UACGGAGGGUGCAAGCGUUAUCCGGAUUUACUGGGCUUAAAGGGUGUGUAGGCGGACUUUUAAGUCAGGGGUGAAAUCCCGAGGCUCAACCUCGGAACUGCCUUUGAUACUAUUGGUCUUGAAUCUUGUUGAGGUGGGCGGAACGGGUCAUGUAGCGGUGAAAUGCAUAGAUAUGACCCGGAACACCGAUUGCGAAGGCAGCCCGCUAAGCAAGCAUUGACGCUGAGGCACGAAAGCGUGGGGAUCAAACAGG